rnacentral:rRNA from 1 species
UACAGAGGUCCCAAGCGUUGUUCGGAUUCACUGGGCGUAAAGGGUGCGUAGGUGGCCGGUUAGGUCUGACGUGAAAUCUCCGAGCCUAACUCGGAAACUGCAUCGGAAACUAUCCGGCUCGAGGGUUGGAGGGGGGACUGGAAUACUUGGUGUAGCAGUGAAAUGCGUAGAUAUCAAGUGGAACACCAGUGGCGAAGGCGAGUCCCUGGACAACUCCUGACACUGAGGCACGAAAGCUAGGGGAGCAAACAGG